AUGGAAUUGAAAAACUAAAAACCAAAGUGAAUCACGCAAGAACAUUGUCUUCAACAGACAAAGCAACAUCUACAAAGAUGAUAAUUAUUCUAAAUAGCUAAAUUGUGACGUCAUUACCGGAUGGCGUCCGGUGGGGGAAUGACGUCACUAUUUAGCUCAGGUUGACAAGAUGGCCGACAACCACCUGAGCUGUAACUUCCGCUGCCCGACUGCUCGUGAACCUGCUGACGGACGGAGGACCAGACGGAGAAAAGGAGACUGACGGCUGACGAUGCUGAAAAUGUUGGAGGAGCAGCUGGAGAAGAACAAGGCUGAAGACAAGCAGAAGACAGAGGACGAAAUGAACAGAACUGCUGAAUGAGCAGAGACACUUGAAGGUCUUGGAGGAGACGAGGAGGAUGGAGCGAACAUUUGUUUCCAGACCUGAGGACGGCAGGUUUCUUCUUCUGCUCUGUGGUUACUCUGAGAAGUAACUUUGACAGUUUGGGGUGGUUCAACUUUUGUAAAAUGUUUGCUGUGCAGCUGAAUUUUAA